rnacentral:rRNA from 1 species
AUUGAACGCUGGCGGCAUGCCUUACACAUGCAAGUCGAACGGUAACGCGGGGCAACCUGGCGACGAGUGGCGAACGGGUGAGUAAUGCAUCGGAACGUGCCCGGUAGUGGGGGAUAACUGCUCGAAAGAGCAGCUAAUACCGCAUACGACCUGAGGGUGAAAGGGGGGGAUCGCAAGACCUCUCGCUAUCGGAGCGGCCGAUGUCGGAUUAGCUAGUUGGUGGGGUAAAGGCCUACCAAGGCGUCGAUCCGUAGCUGGUCUGAGAGGACGACCAGCCACACUGGGACUGAGACACGGCCCAGACUCCUACGGGAGGCAGCAGUGGGGAAUUUUGGACAAUGGACGCAAGUCUGAUCCAGCCAUGCCGCGUGCGGGAAGAAGGCCUUCGGGUUGUAAACCGCUUUUGUCAGGGAAGAAAUCUUCUGAGUUAAUACCUCGGGAGGAUGACGGUACCUGAAGAAUAAGCACCGGCUAACUACGUGCCAGCCGCCGCAGUAAGAC